AUUGAACGCUGGCGGCAUGCCUUACACAUGCAAGUCGAACGGCAGCACGGGUGCUUGCACCUGGUGGCGAGUGGCGAACGGGUGAGUAAUACAUCGGAACAUGUCCUGUAGUGGGGGAUAGCCCGGCGAAAGCCGGAUUAAUACCGCAUACGAUCUACGGAUGAAAGCGGGGGACCUUCGGGCCUCGCGCUAUAGGGUUGGCCGAUGGCUGAUUAGCUAGUUGGUGGGGUAAAGGCCUACCAAGGCGACGAUCAGUAGAAGGUCUGAGAGGACGACCAGCCACACUGGGACUGAGACACGGCCCAGACUCCUACGGGAGGCAGCAGUGGGGAAUUUUGGACAAUGGGCGAAAGCCUGAUCCAGCAAUGCCGCGUGUGUGAAGAAGGCCUUCGGGUUGUAAAGCACUUUUGUCCGGAAAGAAAUCCUUGGCUCUAAUACAGUCGGGGGAUGACGGUACCGGAAGAAUAAGCACCGGCUAACUACGUG
rnacentral:rRNA from 1 species